rnacentral:lncRNA from 1 species
CUGGAAGAGCGCUUCGGCCUCUGUGUUUCACACUGAUAAGUUUAAAGAGCUUACCUCAGCUUUUUUUCUUUUCGGUACCAGGGAUGAACUCAGGACCUUGCGCUUACGAAUCAGGCGGCAGAACCACUGGGCUAAAUCCCUGGCCCUCCUCAGCUACUUUGUACAAUGCUCUUCAGCUGGACUUGCCUCACGACCAGGUCUUUCCUCACGAUCUGAGGCUUCUUUGCUGUAUUUGAAGACCUAUGAGGAAGUGGAAAAUGAAGGCAAAGAUAAAAAAUUUCCCUUGCUUAAUGAUUGGCGUUUAAGCCUAGCUUAUGUAAGGGACCGGUUGAAUUCCCAGCCCUGGAAAAACAAAGAAAAACCUUGUAGACAUUUUUUAAAUUAAAGUAUUUAAAAUAAUUCUGCUGCCAGGAGUAAGCAUAAAAC